GACGAACGCUGGCGGCGUGCCUAACACAUGCAAGUCGAGCGGAGGUACAAUGAGAGCAAUCGAGAUGUACUUUAGCGGCGGACGGGUGAGUAACGCGUGAGCAACCUGCCUAUCACAGGGGGAUAAGGCGGCGAAAGCCGCUCUAAUACCGCAUGAGACCCUCAAAGCGAUGCAAUGGGGGUGAAAGGAGCGAUCCGGUGAGAGAUGGGCUCGCGUCCGAUUAGGUAGUUGGUAGGGUAAGGGCCUACCAAGCCAAUGAUCGGUAGCCGGCCUGAGAGGGUGAACGGCCACAUUGGAACUGAGAGACGGUCCAAACUCCUACGGGAGGCAGCAGUGGGGAAUAUUGGGCAAUGGGGGAAACCCUGACCCAGCGACGCCGCGUGAGGGAAGAAGGUUUUCGGAUUGAAACCUCUGUUCUUGGUGAAGAGGGAAGACGGUAGCCAAGGAGGAAGCCCCGGUAACUACGUGCCAGCAGCCGCGGUAAUCUAGUCUAG
rnacentral:rRNA from 1 species